GAUAGGUAGACGUCCGUGGUCAUGUGGGUAGGUAGACGUCAUGUGGGUAGGUGGACGUCAUGUGGGUAGGUGGACGUCCGUGGUCAUGUGGGUAGGUGGACGUCAUGUGGGUAGGUGGACGUCUGUGGUCAUGUGGAUAGGUAGACGUCAUGUGGGUAGGUGGACGUCCGUGGUCAUGUGGGUAGGUGGACGUCAUGUGGGUAGGUGGACGUCUGUGGUCAUGUGGGUAGGUAGACGUCAUGUGGGUAGGUGGACGUCAUGUGGGUAGGUGGACGUCUGUGGUCAUGUGGGUAGGUGGACGUCAUGUGGGUAGGUGGACGUCAUGUGGGUAGGUGGACGUCUGUGGUCAUGUGGGUAGGUAGACGUCAUGUGGGUAGGUGGACGUCAUGUGGGUAGGUGGACGUCUGUGGUCAUGUGGGUAGGUGGACGUCAUGUGGGUAGGUGGACGUCAUGUGGGUAGGUGGACGUCUGUGGUCAUGUGGGUAGGUGGACGUCAUGUGGGUAGGUGGACGUCAUGUGGGUAGGUGGACGUCUGUGGUCAUGUGGGUAGGUGGACGUCAUGUGGGUAGGUGGACGUCUGUGGUCAUGUGGGUAGGUAGACGUCAUGUGGGUAGGUGGACGUCCGUGGUCAUGUGGGUAGGUAGACGUCCGUGGUCAUGUGGAUAGGUAGACGUCAUGUGGGUAGGUGGACGUCAUGUGGGUAGGUGGACGUCUGUGGUCAUGUGGGUAGGUGGACGUCAUGUGGGUAGGUGGACGUCAUGUGGGUAGGUGGACGUCUGUGGUCAUGUGGGUAGGUGGACGUCAUGUGGGUAGGUGGACGUCUGUGGUCAUGUGGGUAGGUAGACGUCAUGUGGGUAGGUGGACGUCCGUGGUCAUGUGGGUAGGUAGACGUCAUGUGGGUAGGUAGACGUCCAUAGUCAUGUGGGUAGGUAGACGUCAUGUGGGUAGGUGGACGUCCGUGGUCAUGUGGGUAGGUAAACGUCCGUGGUCAUGUGGGUAGGUAGACGUCCGUGGUCAUGUGGGUAGGUAGACGUCCGUGGUCAUGUGGGUAGGUGGACGUCAUGUGGGUAGGUAGACGUCAUGUGGGUAGGUAGACGUCCGUGGUCAUGUGGAUAGGUAGACGUCCGUGGUCAUGUGGAUAGGUAGACGUCAUGUGGGUAGGUAGACGUCCGUGGUCAUGUGGGUAGGUAGACGUCCGUGGUCAUGUGGGUAGGUAGACGUCCGUGGUCAUGUGGGUAGGUAGACGUCCGUGGUCAUGUGGGUAGGUAGAUGUCCGUGGUCAUGUGGGUAGGUGGACGUCCGUGGUCAUGUGGGUAGGUAGACGUCAUGUGGGUAGGUAGACGUCCGUGGUCAUGUGGGUAGGUAGACAUCCGUGGUCAUGUGGGUAGGUAGACGUCAUGUGGGUAGGUGGACGUCCGUGGUCAUGUGGGUAGGUAGACGUCCGUGGUCAUGUGGGUAGGUAGACGUCCGUGGUCAUGUGGGUAGGUAGACGUCAUGUGGGUAGGUAGACGUCCGUGGUCAUGUGGGUAGGUAGACGUCAUGUGGGUAGGUGGACGUCAUGUGGGUAGGUGGACGUCUGUGGUCAUGUGGGUAGGUGGACGUCAUGUGGGUAGGUGGACGUCUGUGGUCAUGUGGGUAGGUGGACGUCUGUGGUCAUGUGGGUAGGUGGACGUCAUGUGGGUAGGUGGACGUCAUGUGGGUAGGUGGACGUCUGUGGUCAUGUGGGUAGGUGGACGUCAUGUGGGUAGGUGGACGUCUGUGGUCAUGUGGGUAGGUAGACGUCAUGUGGGUAGGUGGACGUCCGUGGUCAUGUGGGUAGGUAGACGUCAUGUGGGUAGGUAGACGUCCAUAGUCAUGUGGGUAGGUAGACGUCAUGUGGGUAGGUGGACGUCCGUGGUCAUGUGGGUAGGUAAACGUCCGUGGUCAUGUGGGUAGGUAGACGUCCGUGGUCAUGUGGGUAGGUAGACGUCCGUGGUCAUGUGGGUAGGUAGACGUCCGUGGUCAUGUGGGUAGGUAGACGUCAUGUGGGUAGGUAGACGUCCGUGGUCAUGUGGGUAGGUAGACGUCCGUGGUCAUGUGGGUAGGUAGACGUCCGUGGUCAUGUGGGUAGGUAGACGUCCGUGGUCAUGUGGGUAGGUAGACGUCCGUGGUCAUGUGGGUAGGUAGAUGUCCGUGGUCAUGUGGGUAGGUGGACGUCCGUGGUCAUGUGGGUAGGUAGACGUCAUGUGGGUAGGUAGACGUCCGUGGUCAUGUGGGUAGGUAGACAUCCGUGGUCAUGUGGGUAGGUAGACGUCAUGUGGGUAGGUGGACGUCCGUGGUCAUGUGGGUAGGUAGACGUCCGUGGUCAUGUGGGUAGGUAGACGUCCGUGGUCAUGUGGGUAGGUAGACGUCAUGUGGGUAGGUGGACGUCCGUGGUCAUGUGGGUAGGUGGACGUCCGUGGUCAUGUGGGUAGGUAGACGUCCGUGGUCAUGUGGGUAGGUAGACGUCCGUGGUCAUGUGGGUAGGUAGACGUCCGUGGUCAUGUGGGUAGGUAGACGUCCGUGGUCAUGUGGGUAGGUAGACGUCCGUGGUCAUGUGGGUAGGUAGACGUCAUGUGGGUAGGUGGACGUCCGUGGUCAUGUGGGUAGGUGGACGUCCGUGGUCAUGUGGGUAGGUGGACGUCCGUGGUCAUGUGGGUAGGUAGACGUCCGUGGUCAUGUGGGUAGGUAGACGUCCGUGGUCAUGUGGGUAGGUAGACGUCCGUGGUCAUGUGGGUAGGUAGACGUCAUGUGGGUAGGUAGACGUCAUGUGGGUAGGUAGACGUCAUGUGGGUAGGUAGACGUCAUGUGGGUAGGUAGACGUCCGUGGUCAUGUGGGUAGGUAGACGUCCGUGGUCAUGUGGGUAGGUAGACGUCCGUGGUCAUGUGGGUAGGUAGACGUCCGUGGUCAUGUGGGUAGGUAGACGUCCGUGGUCAUGUGGGUAGGUAGACGUCCGUGGUCAUGUGGGUAGGUAGACGUCCGUGGGCAUGUGGGUAGGUAGACGUCCGUGGUCAUGUGGGUAGGUAGACGUCCGUGGUCAUUUGGGUAGGUAGACGUCCGUGGUCAUGUGGGUAGGUAGACGUCCGUGGUCAUGUGGGUAGGUAGACGUCCGUGGUCAUGUGGGUAGGUAGACGUCAUGUGGUUAGGUGGACGUCCGUGGUCAUGUGGGUAGGUGGACGUCCGUGGUCAUGUGGGUAGGUAGACGUCCGUGGUCAUGUGGGUAGGUAGACGUCAUGUGGAUAGGUGGACGUCCGUGGUCAUGUGGGUAGACGUAUGCCCACUAAUGUUCCUAAUAGCACCGGUUAAUAGCUACAACUUUUGGAUCUUUGUCCGGUCAUCAAACUGACUUCUAGUAGUGGUCUGUGUAUACUUUAUGCUGAUGGUUGUGUUCUGC